UACGUAGGGUGCGAGCGUUAAUCGGAAUUACUGGGCGUAAAGCGUGCGCAGGCGGUUUGUUAAGUCUGAUGUGAAAGCCCCGGGCUCAACCUGGGAACUGCAUUGGAAACCGGCAAGCUCGAGUAUGGCAGAGGGGGGUGGAAUUCCGCGUGUAGCAGUGAAAUGCGUAGAGAUGCGGAGGAACACCGAUGGCGAAGGCAGCCCCCUGGGCCAAUACUGACGCUCAGGCACGAAAGCGUGGGGAGCAAACAGG
rnacentral:rRNA from 1 species